CACACCGCCCGUCACAUCACGAAAGCCCGUUGUACUAGAAGCCGGUGAUUCAACGGCAAGGAGAUAGCCGUCCAAGGUAUGACUGGUGAUUGGGGUG
rnacentral:rRNA from 1 species